rnacentral:rRNA from 1 species
GAUGAACGCUGGCGGCGUGCCUAAUACAUGCAAGUCGAGCGAACAGACGAGGAGCUUGCUCCUCUGACGUUAGCGGCGGACGGAUGAGUAACACGUGGAUAACCUACCUAUAAGACUGGGAUAACUUCGGGAAACCGGAGCUAAUACCGGAUAAUAUAUUGAACCGCAUGGUUCAAUAGUGAAAGACGGUUUUGCUGUCACUUAUAGAUGAAUCCGCGCCGCAUUAGCUAGUUGGUAAGGUAACGGCUUACCAAGGCAACGAUGCGUAGCCGACCUGAGAGGGUGAUCGGCCACACUGGAACUGAGACACGGUCCAGACUCCUACGGGAGGCAGCAGUAGGGAAUCUUCCGCAAUGGGCGAAAGCCUGACGGAGCAACGCCGCGUGAGUGAUGAAGGUCUUCGGAUCGUAAAACUCUGUUAUUAGGGAAGAACAAAUGUGUAAGUAACUAUGCACGUCUUGACGGUACCUAAUCAGAAAGCCACGGCUAACUACGUG